rnacentral:rRNA from 1 species
UGGGGAAUUUUGGACAAUGGGCGAAAGCCUGAUCCAGCAAUGCCGCGUGUGUGAAGAAGGCCUUCGGGUUGUAAAGCACUUUUGUCCGGAAAGAAAUCCUUGGCUCUAAUACAGUCGGGGGAUGACGGUACCGGAAGAAUAAGCACCGGCUAACUACGUGCCAGCAGCCGCGGUAAUACGUAGGGUGCAAGCGUUAAUCGGAAUUACUGGGCGUAAAGCGUGCGCAGGCGGUUUGCUAAGACCGAUGUGAAAUCCCCGGGCUCAACCUGGGAACUGCAUUGGUGACUGGCAGGCUAGAGUAUGGCAGAGGGGGGUAGAAUUCCACGUGUAGCAGUGAAAUGCGUAGAGAUGUGGAGGAAUACCGAUGGCGAAGGCAGCCCCCUGGGCCAAUACUGACGCUCAUGCACGAAAGCGUGGGGGAGCAAACAGGAUUAGAUACCCUGGUAGUCCACGCCCUAAACGAUGUCAACUAGUUGUUGGGGAUUCAUUUCCUUAGUAACGUAGCUAACGCGUGAAGUUGACCGCCUGGGGAGUACGGUCGCAAGAUUAAAACUCAAUGAAUUGACGGGGUCAUAGCUG